UUACACAAAUAUGAAGGCGGGCUGGAAUCUCUCGGGGUUACAGCCUUGCUGAAUUAUUCACCCUUGUCUUUUGCGUACUUCUUGUUUCCUUGGUGGGUUCGCCCACCACUAGGACAAACAUAAACCUUUUGUAAUUGCAAUCAGCGUCAGUAACAAAUUAAUAAUUACAACUUUCAACAACGGAUCUCUUGGUUCUGGCAUCGAUGAAGAACGCAGCGAAAUGCGAUAAGUAGUGUGAAUUGCAGAAUUCAGUGAAUCAUCGAAUCUUUGAACGCACAUUGCGCCCUUUGGUAUUCCAAAGGGCAUGCCUGUUCGAGCGUCAUUUGUACCCUCAAGCUUUGCUUGGUGUUGGGCGUCUUGUCUCUAGCUUUGCUGGAGACUCGCCUUAAAGUAAUUGGCAGCCGGCCUACUGGUUUCGGAGCGCAGCACAAGUCGCACUCUCUAUCAGCAAAGGUCUAGCAUCCAUUAAGCCUUUUUUCAACUUUUGACCUCGGAUCAGGUAGGGAUACCCGCUGAACUUAAGCAUAUCAA
rnacentral:rRNA from 1 species